UAUAAGAGAUUUUGAGAUUUUGCUUGUACUGUUUGACCACCCGUCUUAUUUAAAAAUUUUUGGAAUUAUUAUUUAUUUUUUUUGACUUGCUCUAAAGUACUUUAAGCACAACUUUUCGUUUUUUAUAUUUGUAUAAAUUUUUUGAAUAAGACGAGUGGUCAAACAGUGCAAAUAAAAACUCAAAAUCCCUUAUA
rfam:Oryza glumipatula chromosome 11, whole genome shotgun sequence.